rnacentral:rRNA from 1 species
CAUUAGAGGAAGUAAAAGUCGUAACAAGGUCUCCGUUGGUGAACCAGCGGAGGGAUCAUUAAAGAGUUGCAAAACUCCCAAACCAUUGUGAACUUACCUCCAACGUUGCUUCGGCGGGUUGGCUCCGGGUCUCCCGGGGCCCCCGGCCCUCACGGGCGCCCGCCGGAGGUACCUAACUCUUGAAAUUGUAUGGCCUCUCUGAGUGAUUUAUAAAUAAGUCAAAACUUUCAACAACGGAUCUCUUGGUUCUGGCAUCGAUGAAGAACGCAGCGAAAUGCGAUAAGUAAUGUGAAUUGCAGAAUUCAGUGAAUCAUCGAAUCUUUGAACGCACAUUGCGCCCGCCAGUAUUCUGGCGGGCAUGCCUGUUCGAGCGUCAUUUCAACCAUCAAGCCCCCGGCUUGUGUUGGGGACCUGCGGCUGCCGCAGGCCCUGAAAACCAGUGGCGGGCUCGCUAGUCACUCCGAGCGUAGUAAUACAUCUCGCUCAGGGCGUGCUGCGGGUUCCGGCCGUUAAAAGCCUUAUUUACCCAAGGUUGACCUCGGAUCAGUAGGAAGACCCGCUGAACUUAAGCAUAUCAAUAA